CCGAGAUCAAUUCGACUCUUCCGCCACCACCACACACCGGCAAGGGUUACUCAGGCGACCACCACUCCGCCGCGGGAAUGUUGGCGGCGAAACUCCCUCAGCCACCGCCCUCCGCCGCACUCACUCUCCGAAGCUCCCUCCUCACACUCGCCAUCAUAACACUCGUCUCCUUCACUUUUCUCUCCCUUAAAUCCCUCCACUCCCCUUCUCUCCAGUAUUCCCCCUCCACCAGCCCUACCCCCCUCACCAUACAUCCUUCGCUGCCCAAGGUACUACUCCCAGGGAGUAGUACGCGAGCGAGGGUUACUUCUUUCAGAAUCUCAGGGAGAGUAAUUUCGUGACGGAUGAUCCAGAUCGGGCCGAUUUGUUCUUCAUUCCGAUCUCGUCAUAAGAUGCGAG
rnacentral:lncRNA from 1 species